GUCCAAGACAACCUAAAAGCCAAGAAUGCGGUUUUUAUGUUUUGAAAUAUAUCACUGACAUCGUCGCACGUGCCAACCCCAACCGUUACAUAGAAGAUCAAAAAGCUUUUGGGGGUAAGAAGCAAUACGAUCCAAAAACAGAAUUGUUACCACUACAGCGAAAGUGGAUCGAACAAUUGAUGGCGGUGAUUCACGGUGACGAUUGAGGUUCAAAGGUCGAAGAAUUUUUCUUCAUUAUGUAAUUUUUAUAGAUUAACUUGUAAUUAGAUUUAUUAACUUAUUAAUAUUUUUAACUAAUUUUACAUGUUUGUGUAAUAUUUAAUUAUUUUUAUGAAAUCAAAUUAUAUUUUUA